ACCUAACUGCACUGGAGGCUGGAAGAGGGACUCUGGUUGUAGGCCAGGAAGAAGAAAAGAAUACAAUCACUGGUGAGCACCAACAGUCUGUGCCACAUAUAAACUGAUCAUGUGACACCAACAUUAGCUAAGUCAGAAUUUAUUUUUCUUUCUUUGGAAUUCCUUCAGCAAUUACAUACCCUCUAUAUCAUAAUUUUGUCAUAUUAAAUUAUAUAUUGCCUUAGAUUUAUGUCUUCUGCCUCCAUUUUUACAUCAUAAGCAGGAAUCAUUCUUCAGCUGCUUUGGUUUUUACCAUGAUGCAGGCGAUAAGGUCAGCACUGUAAGUGCAUUUAAAAAUCAUGCUGAAUUAUUUCAGUAAAGACUUAGGAAGCUGGAAUUUGCAGUCUGGAAACAAGCUUGGUUUAGUUGCUAUGGCACAAAGUAAUGAUUUAAAUAUAUACAAGGAUGUUUAUAAUCACAAAAAAACAGUAGAAAGGGAGUUAAAUAUCCAUUAAAUGUAUAUAGUGGGCAGUGGUUGAGGAGCAGCUGUGCUUGGGUUGUGACUGGCAUUGGUCGUGUUGGGGUCUAGUGGGCAGAGAACACUCUUGGCCAGGCAGAUGGCUUCUCGGUGGCAGAGAAUGGGGACCUCUAUGCACUGGAGAUCUCUCCAGCACCAGGAGCAGCUGGAGGACAGCAAGGAGCUGCAGCCUGUGGCCAGCCAGCCAUCAGGAUAACUCCACGUGGGCCCUGGGGUGUCUGUGCAGACAGUUCCAAAGGAGGCUGACCCGAGAGCCAUCAACCUCAACUUCUGUGCAGGCCUUUCCUGGAAAUGCCUGGAAACCCCAGAGCCAGGGUAGCAGGGCUUCCAGGCUAUAGCUCACUCAGCUAAGAGUGCCUUGGGUGCCAUGUCCCAGAGAAUCCAGGAGUCCUGCCAAAGUGGCACCAAAUGGCUGGUGGAGAUCCAAGUGAAGCCCAGGAGGAGGAAGAGAGGGGCACAGAAGGGCAGUGGAUCCCCAACUCACAGCCUGAGCCAGAAGAGCACCCGGCUGUCUGGAGACGCCCCUGCCCAUGAGCCACAGACCUCUGGGAAAAGGAGCAUCAUGACCUCUCUGCCCAGAUAGGCUCCCAUGCCUACCCAUUACGGCGGUGGACGUGGGAGGCUGCCUUCUGGAGCCCCUACUCCUCAGCAUAGCCCCUCUGCUCUCCCAGCCAGUCUGACAGUGACCUAGAGCCUAUGGGGGCAGGAAUUCAGCAUUUCUAGAAGCUGUCCCAAAAGCUAGAUGAAGCCAUUAUGGCGGAAGAGAGUGGUGCUGACAUCCUCUCUCUCAUUCAUAGCUGAGGAAGUGGCCUGCAGGAAACAAGCCCUGUCUGAUCGCCAGGGCUUCAUACCCAAGGUGUCUGUGCUUCCCCAUGAGCUUCCUGGAGGAAGCCCCCAGGAGUUGUCAGUACCCCUGGGCCACUGCUAACAAGGACCUGACUAACAAGGGGUCCAGAGCCCCCCCUGCUCCGGCCACAUCUGGAUACAUCAGUGACUGCCUGCCACAGCCUUAGCGUGUCUUGGGAAGACCUUGCAGAGAUGGGGAGAAUUUCUCAGGGGACUCUUGAGCUUAGAAACUCAUCGUACAACUCAUCGUACACUUGACCUUGAGCCUUGUAUUUGACUCAUCUAUAACUAGUGAAGUGCUAGCAUCAGAUGUUACAGAGCUCUUAGCUGUGCACCCAGGUGCCUGGUUUUGGGGGAGUCAUCUGCAGAGUCACUCACCCGCUGUGUUUCCAGUGCCAAGGCUCUUGGGGGUCCCACUCUCAUCCCUACUUUCCCUACCAGGGACUCGGAGGAAGGCAUAGGAGAUAUUUCCGGGCUUAAGACCGUGGACUCACUGGUACCUCUGUAUAUGUUCAAUGCAGAGCACUGUGGGUGUGCUGGGAGGGGUAGCCCUAUUCAAGAGCAAUUUCUGCUCUCUGUAAAUUAUUUAAGAAACCUGCUUUGUCAUUGUAUUAGAAAGAAACUGGUGUGUGACUUUUCUAGAUAACACUGCUUUCUCAUAAUAAAGACUGUUUGCAUUUGAAAAAAAAUGUAUAUAGUGACAUGGGAAAGAUCUAACAAUAUAUUGGUAAGUGGGCCGGGCGCAGUGGCUCACGCCUGCAAUCCCAGCACUUUGGGAGGCCAA